AAAUGCAGGAGAUAGAAGGAGAUGGGGAUGGGGGCAGGAAGAAACCAAACCAAGAAACUUCUGUGGAGGAUCUUGUCCUCCAUGAUCACAGACUUCCUUGGCUAAAUUCUGUCUUCCUUCUCAAACAUUUCCCAAGCAGCAUACUGUAGGCUAUUUUGGGGAAAUAUUUUCACAAAAUAUCUAAACCUUAUGUUUGCUGACAGGCUACAAAGUCUAGGUUCUAAGUAAGAAAUUUUCAUCUCACACCAGAACUUUCCAGUCCAACUGGCACUUCUGCUUCUCAUGAAUCCUGAAGAACAGAUGGAAUUGGGAACCUAAUUUUGACUGAGCUUAAAUCCAGCCUUAGGUAUAAUUUAAAAAAUCUCCUAUCAAUAUUCCACUGGUUUCUGAUGUUUUCAUUUGAGUGGACUAGUUUCUCUCAGGAAAAACUGAAAAAGAAAAUCACAAAGCUGGACAGCGCUGGACCCAUCAGAGUUUCAAUACUGGCAAGAGAAAAAGGCCAGUCCUCUGGGGAGCCCUCUUGGAAAAGAUGAAGCACUGGACAUUAUAAACUAACUACUUUCAACACCUGGAUGAAUCUAGGAGCAGGUUAGUCCCGACAUCAAGGCAAUGUCAAGAGUGGAAGGGAGAAUCAAGGCUUUUUUUGAGUGAUUGUUUCCUGGAAGCACAGCAUAUAAAUUCUCCAGUUAACAUAAAAACCAUAUGAAGAAGGAAAAAGCCUUUAAAUACGUGAGGGCUGAUGAGGUAAUUUGUGAUGCCAUACACACACAUUUUUGCUUUUUCAAACAUUGUCACCACUUUUGUUUUAGUUAGUUCUAAAGGUCUCACCUCCCUUAAUUGACUGAAAUCUUUGAGAUCAACAAUUGUGGCUUAUUUAAAUUUGGGGUCAGGUUUUGGCAUUGUGCAUAACAUAGAAUAGCAGCAUUCAAGGAGUGUUUGUUGACUCGAUUGUGAAAUCAUAAGACCAGACACUAUUUUCACAAACAGGAUGUCUUCUUUUUUCCCAAAAAAGAAAGUUUGCAUCAUUUUCUAGGCUUCUGUAGGGGAACGAUGGUGGCACGAAAGCUCUGAG